CACGUAUGGGGCGAGCGUUGUUCGGAAUUAUUGGGCGUAAAGGGUAUGCAGGCGGUUUAUCAAGUCUGGUGUGUAAGACUUCAGCUUAACUGAGGGAACGCACUGGAAACUGGUAGACUAGAGUACAGGAAGGGGAGUUGGAAUUCCAGGUGUAGGGGUGAAAUCUGUAGAUAUCUGGAAGAACAUCAGUGGCGAAGGCGAACUCCUGGCCAUGUACUGACGCUGAGAUACGAAAGCAUGGGGAGCAAACAGG
rnacentral:rRNA from 1 species